AUGGUUUCCUGGGUGAGGCGCUCUAGCCUGCGCAGAUUGAGACGUCGCGGCGGCCUUGCUAGGCUACCGGAGGCUCCGGAAGGCGCCUCGCUGGUCGCGCGGUCGGCCAUGGGGACCCUGCGCAAAACGCUGAUCGCGGGCGCACUGCUGGGCGCGGGGGCUGGCGUGGGCACCGCGCUCUUUGCCCUCGUGACCCCGGGAGAGCAGCAGAAGCAGGCGAUGCUGAAGGAGAUGCCGAAGCAGGACCCGCAGGGCAGGGACGAGGCGGCCAGGACCAAGCAGCUACUUCUGGCCACUCUGCAGGAGGCAGCGGCCACGCAAGAGAACGUCGCCUGGAGAAAGAACUGGAUGAGUGGCGGCGGCGGGAAGUCAGCCUGAGGCCAGACCUGCCCCCGUGCGCGCCGGGACCUCCUCUGCAGCGCAGGAGCCCGAGCCGGCCUUACUCCUCUGUGGGCCGGCGGGGAGUCCAGACACGCGCAGACCUCUUCGGGACCUGGGGAGCUGCCACCGGGGGGCCCUGGUUCGAUCCCUGGUCCGGGAAAUAGAUCCCAGGUACUGCAACAAGAGUUCGCAUACCGCAACUAAGAGAUCCCACGUGCUGCAACGAGGAUCCCGAGUGCUGCAACUAAGACCUGGUGCAGAUAAAUAAAUAAAUGGUGACAAUGAUCUUGAGAGUUGUAAAAAGGUGAACUUAGGAAUGUAAAGUGCAGUGCCAGGCACAGGGCAGCCUCUCACUAAAUGCACUGGGGUUUUCCUCCCACAAGGUUUUCACUGUAGUGGUUUUCAAUUUCUGAAUCCGUCAUAGGAUCUAUUGGCGAUGCCACUGGUGGGAUGAGAUAAAGCUAUCAGUGGGGCGGCCGCCCUACAGCGAAGCCAACCAGCUCACUCCCCUUUUGUCUAUUUUAUGUCCUGUGGUUCCAAACAAGAUUGCAAUUGAUGGGGGAGGGGGGGGCUGCUUGUAUUAAAUAAAGCCGGAACACACUAAAUAAAGCUUGGUAACACUGAGGUGUAAACCCAGAUAUGAGCACUGGUGCAGUUUUCAGCUACUAGAUGGUGAAGUCGUAAG